rnacentral:rRNA from 1 species
CCUACGGGGAGCUGCAGUGAGGAAUAUUGGUCAAUGGCCGGAAGGCUGAACCAGCCAUGCCGCGUGAAGGUCAGUGCCCUAUGGGCGUUAAACUUCUUUUGUGCGGGAGCAAUAAUGGUCACGUGUGGCCAGACGAGAGUACCGUACGAAUAAGCAUCGGCUAACGCCGUGCAAGCAGCCGCGGGAAUACGGGGGAUGCAAGCGUUAUCCGGAUUUAUUGGGUUUAAAGGGUGCGUAGGCUGUGAGGUAAGUCAGCGGUGAAAUGCCCCCGCUCAACGGGGUGAAGUGCCAUUGAUACUGCCUUGCUGGAAUGCGGAUGCCGUGGGAGGAAUGUGUGGUGUAGCGGUGAAAUGCAUAGAUAUCACACAGAACACCGAUUGCGAAGGCAUCUCACGAAGCCGCGAUUGACGCUGCUGCACGAAAGCGUGGGUAUCAAACAGGAUUAGAUACCCCGGUAGUC